rnacentral:tRNA from 1 species
GACCAAAAAGUUCAUUUGGUAGAACGUCGCACUGUUAAUGCGGGAGUUCUGGGUUCGAAUCCCAGUUUGGUCG